rnacentral:rRNA from 1 species
AUGGAUGGAGGCGGCAUUAAUGGCGUGUGGCUGUGUGGGUGGAUGCAUGGAGGCGGGCCGUACGGGCAGCAGGUGACGCGGGGGCAGGACCUCACCUGGAAGGACUUCAGCGGCCAGACGCUCAUCAAGAAGGACUUCAAGACCGGACCUAACUACUCUCCCCUUCUCUUUCCAUCGAUUCCUACAAUUGUUUCACUCGUGAUGAUGUGA